rnacentral:rRNA from 1 species
GUGCCAGCAGAGCAGCCGCGGUAAUACGUAGGGUGCGAGCGUUGUCCGGAAUUAUUGGGCGUAAAGAGCUCGUAGGCGGUCUGUCGCGUCGGUCGUGAAAACCUGCAGCUUAACUGUGGGCGUGCGGUCGAUACGGGCAUGACUGGAGUUCUGCAGGGGGAGACUGGAAUUCCUGGUGUAGCGGUGGAAGUGCGCAGAUAUCAGGAGGAACACCGGUGGCGAAGGCGGGUCUCUGGGCAGUAACUGACGCUGAGGAGCGAAAGCGUGGGGAGCGAACAGG